AAAUAAAUAACGUGGGAAGAAAUCAAGAAGGAAUACAAUUUUUUUUCAACAUUUUCUUAUUUGACCAACUUUAAAACUAUCAUGCUUAAAAGAACCAAAAAUUAGUCCAUCUAAACAGACUCCAAAAUUAGAAAUGCUGUACAAGUUUCUAAUAUGGAAAGAACAAAGGGAGUCUCAUCAUUCUUCCAGAAAAGAUAACAUGCUAUCACUUCUUCACAAACCUAAAAUAUUAUGUUGCAACGACGUAUGGAUGCACAGCUUAAGCACCGGUCUCCUCCUCACUUGCCAAAACGACCCCUAGCCCAUGGCGCUACAUGCUGACCACCUCCAUUUCUCCUUGGCAUGUUGUUCUGCUGAGAUUGCAUUUUCAUCCUUUGUUCCUUCAUAUUUGCAAAUAGAGAAUCUAAUGUCUGAGGCCUCUGCUUUGACACUGGCUUGACUUCCUGCUUUUGUUGCUUAGCAAUAAACCUGCCACCAUUUGCAGCACUCUUCUGAACUGGAGGAGCCCCAAACCUGCACAAGUAACAAAAAGAGAAUUGAAGAGACUGUAGGGAGAAGUGCUUAUCCGCAGAUUACUUACUAAAGGGUGAGCAGCACCAAGAUGAAGAGGAAAUCCCCAGUGAGAUCAUUAUGCACGUAGUUUUUUUACUUCCAACUUACCAUCGGUCCUCAAAUUAAAACUUCUCAACUGGCCAAACCUUAGAAACAGUAGCAGCAUCCCGAACAAAAAUCGAUAGCUUUCAGCUCACCCCCCACCAGAAGGUAAGUCAAACUAGAACUAACAGAAACACAGAUGUGGAAGAAAUGUCGUCUUGGGUUUUUGGACAACUUUCAUCAGUCAAAUAUCCAAUAAUAUGCCCAACUUCAGCAGAACGGCUUUCACCACGAAACUAGAACUGCUUCAAUAGAGUUGCAGCAAACUUCCCAACAUAACAUAAUUCAACACAAAAUGUAAAGCCCUCCACACGUCCCACAAACCCAACUGUUUCUGUUAAAGAGCUUAAGUACAACAUGCAAUCUCUAUCCUCCAAAACACUGCCACAAGGUUACGGCACAAACAAGAGUUGGAUACACGCCGACACAAAGAGAAGUAUCACCAUUUACGUGACCCGCAACAGCAAUUUCAAAAAUCAAUAAUACCAUAACACCCACAAAAUAAUACAAAAAUGCUUCUGUAAGGUAUCGAAGGCAAAACUUAAAAUGCACAGCAGCCUCGCGAACUCAUAGCUGAAAGAAAUCUGAUGAAUGCCAUGUGUCUAUGCUCCAUGCAUUCCCAAACUUCUCAUCAACAUAAAUUUUGAUGGUUGGGCAGCGGAAAGAAAAUGAGGAAAACUGCUAAUUAAUAUCCCAAAAAGAAAUUCAAAGACAUUUGUCUCCAAGUCUCCCCGAACUUCUUAUCAACAAAACAUUUGGCACUUUGAAGAGGAAAGAAAAUGAGAAAGAAUUGAUAAUCCAAAAACCCGAGGGAAUUCAAGGAAAAUUCCUUGAGAAAUAGUUGAGUCACUUCGAACAGAAUCUUCCAUCAGGACAUCCUUUCUGUACCCAAAAGAAAAUCACUGAUAAUCAAUUUCCAUAGAAUUGAGUUGCCAUGGGACAAAGUUAUCCAAGGCAUUUGUUCAUAUGAAGCCACCAUUCCAAAACCUCAAACUAACAAGUCAUAGUAUACACCAUGUUCCCUACCAGACAAAUCCUUGGAAACUAUGCAGUUACCACAACACAGGAAAAUCUCAUUAUAACAUAUCUUUAUGCCAGCUCCCAGAUGCACUUUAAAUCCACAUUAAGAGUUCCACAUCUUGUAGUGUCCUGAUACCAACUUAAAAAGAGAGAAACUCAAAUACAAUACAUGCACAACAAACUGGUCAACCAACAUGUUGUAGAAGGAUGUAACUUUUCUGAGGUAAAAUAACCAUAUCAUUUGACACUUGAACAAACUUCCAAAGACUGCAACUUCAAUAUCUCCCCACCGGAUUAACAGGGAACAGCAUGCUUUUGAAGUAUAUAAAAUGAAGGAGAGACACAUGGCAAAUUCAUCUACAAUAAAUAGGACCACAAUUUACCUCUGUUUAUUUACAUUCACUGCCUGGCUUCGAUUGAAAGCCCUAUUGCGAAUAGGAGCAACUGCUGCCCUUCUGGCAGCCUCAGUUGCCAAAGGAAACUGGUCUCCCUGAAAAUUUGAUCUUCUUUGAGCAAGAGCCCCCUGUCUCAUAGAUGAUCUUGUGUCCAUAAACCUUUGUAUCUUAGCAGAUUUAUCCUGAGCCAGGUUAUUAGAAAACUUUUGGCUUCUAUUCGAAACUCUUUGCUUCUUAGUUUUGGUUGUGUUUGUCUUGGACAUCUUGAUGAUAUCGUCUAAUGUCAUGUCCAUUUUCUUCUCAGUAAGUGCAAUAGUCUCAGUUGUCAGUAUUUUAGCUGCCAUCUGUUUAUGUUUGUGAAAUCGAAUAGAAGAUGAUGAAGCUGAUGUUGAAUGCUAGGGUUUCGAUUUUUUGAGAAGAAGAAGACGGCGAAUUUAGUGUGAUGAAAA
rnacentral:misc_RNA from 1 species